rnacentral:rRNA from 1 species
UCUGGGAUAAGCGCUGGAAACGGCGUCUAAUACUGGAUAUGUCCCGUCACCGCAUGGUGUGCGGGUGGAAAGAUUUUUCGGUUGGGGAUGGGCUCGCGGCCUAUCAGCUUGUUGGUGAGGUAAUGGCUCACCAAGGCGUCGACGGGUAGCCGGCCUGAGAGGGUGACCGGCCACACUGGGACUGAGACACGGCCCAGACUCCUACGGGAGGCAGCAGUGGGGAAUAUUGCACAAUGGGCGGAAGCCUGAUGCAGCAACGCCGCGUGAGGGAUGACGGCCUUCGGGUUGUAAACCUCUUUUAGCAGGGAAGAAGCGAGAGUGACGGUACCUGCAGAAAAAGCACCGGCUAACUACGUGCCAGCAGCCGCGGUAAUACGUAGGGUGCAAGCGUUAUCCGGAAUUAUUGGGCGUAAAGAGCUCGUAGGCGGUCUGUCGCGUCUGCUGUGAAAUCCCGAGGCUCAACCUCGGGCUUGCAGUGGGUACGGGCAGACUAGAGUGCGGUAGGGGAGAUUGGAAUUCCUGGUGUAGCGGUGGAAUGCGCAGAUAUCAGGAGGAACACCGAUGGCGAAGGCAGAUCUCUGGGCCGUAACUGACGCUGAGGAGCGAAAGGGUGGGGAGCAAACAGGCUUAGAUACCCUGGUAGUCCACCCCGUAAACGUUGGGAACUAGUUGUGGGGUCCUUUCCACGG